CUAACAAUGGUGACAGACGUGCAGUUGGCCAUUUUUGCCAACAUGCUCGGCGUGUCCCUGUUCCUGCUGGUGGUGCUGUACCACUACGUGGCUGUCAACAACCCAAAGAAGCAGGACUAGGAAACAAUUUGGGCCUUUGCCAGGUGAGCGGAAUCUCACCAGACUUAAAUAUGGAAAUCACCACCAUCACCCGGGAAACAUAAACAUCUUCCCCCAAAUGAUUUCCUAGAGCUUGUGCAUUGUGUGCAGUACUUUAAAAAAAAAAAAAAUCAAUAAAAUAUGCCAUGAAA